GGGCCGUUAGCUCAGCGGUUAGAGCACCUGCCUCUUAAGCAGGGUGUCGCUGGUUCGAAUCCAGCACGGCUCA
rnacentral:tRNA from 1 species